rnacentral:rRNA from 1 species
CCUACGGGUGGCUGCAGUGAGGAAUAUUGGUCAAUGGACGCAAGUCUGAACCAGCCAUGCCGCGUGCAGGAUGACGGCUCUAUGAGUUGUAAACUGCUUUUGUACGAGGGUAAACCCCGAUACGUGUAGCGCGUUGAAAGUAUCCUACGAAUAAGGAUCGGCUAACUCCGUGCCAGCAGCCGCGGUAAUACGGAGGAUUCGAGCGUUAUCCGGAUUUAUUGGGUUUAAAGGGUGCGUAGGCGGUUUGAGAAGUUAGAGGUGAAAUGUCGGGGCUCAAACCCGGUACUGCCUUUAAUACUGUAGGACUAGAGAGUGUUUGUGGUAGGCGGAAUGUAUGGUGUAGCGGUGAAAUGCUUAGAGAUCACGCAGAACACCGAUUGCGAAGGCAGCUUACCAACCUAUAUCUGACGUUGAUGCACGAAAGCGUGGGUAGCGAACAGGAUUAGAUACCCGAGUAGUC